AGAAUGCCGAGGGGCGAGAGUCUCGGCCAGUGAAGACCCAGGGCUCUCAGGGAGGACAGCGUCGGGGCUCAGGGGCCUCAUUCGACCCUUCGGAGCGAACCUGGGGCAGCGGGUGAUCCUGCAGGUCUCGGGGGCAACUCGGAAUGGAAUUGGCACGAAGGAAGGCAGUUUGGCAUGGCUUCCUAAGACGCUGAGUCCUCAGGGCUUAGGACAGUGCCGGGCACAUAGCGGCCUCCGAUGGAUACAGAACAAGCGAGUGAACAAGUGGUCGGUCCCGCUCCCAGUCCUCUUGCAGGAAAGGAGGAACCAAGGCAGUCUUUUCUUUUCGAAGUGACCGACUCCCCCUCUGCCAGCGCGGUUGCUGAGCAAAGCCCGGGUCUGGCUGUGUGUGCCAGCAUGCACCGCCCAGCCUUCAAGUUCAUAAAGAGAGGAUGACCAGGCCUGGCAGGAAAACAGGCUCUGGGCAAGGAAGAAAAAAUAUGUUUGUUCCUGGUUUCAUUAAUCAUGACAGGAGGGGAAACCCAGCUCUCUGGAUGAUGAAAAUGCAAUACCAGGUAUCCAGCUGGUAGCCAGGUGCCUGAUUUAUACCUGGGAGGAGUUAAAGGAGCCACUGGACACUGGCCUGGAAAUGUCACUUAUGGGCGGCCGCGUGCUGUGUCUCCAAAGCAGAAGGAAGGCUGCCCGCGGGCACGGCUGCGGCCUCCCAGCCUCCAGCCCACCGUGAUCCCAGCACACCAGAGAGUCUCUCUUCCCUGCUGCUCCCAGAGUAAAGGCUCUUCAGCCCUCCUCACCCAAAGACAGCCAGGCGGUCAUCUGACUGGUGUGUCCCGAGAUGAUCCAGAGGAGGCUCAAGACGCGGAUGCCAUUGAGUGCGGGGCAGGUGCCGCCUGGCGUCUUUGUGGUCCAGAUGGCCGGCACGUUCUUCUGCCAAGAAAAACACUGCAGAGCGUGCGCCACGGCUCCUAGAAACCCUAGGCAAGAGCAGAGGUGUCGCCGUCCACCCCGACAGCCGGACCUAUCCACGACGCACCACCCCACAGCCAGAGCCAGAGAGGUCCUGGCAGUCCCCCGGAAGCUCUCUGGCUCUGACCCUGGACUGCUCAGCUAGGCUCUCCAGGGUCGCAUCUCGGUGUAUAUGUGGACUUCCAUACUUGGUCUCCCCUCCCUUUGACUUGCCCUAACCUGAGGUUGGUAGCCCACAGGCCUUGCACAGAAUGCACUGCCCAAGCUCAGACUCCAGGGAUCCUGACCCCUGACCCCAGACCUGUUUGCCGAAGAGUUGGGGGGAAGGAGAACAGAGAUGUCAGUGAGAAACCACGUGAUCCAUAGAGCCAGCAUGUCACUUGGAACGACAUCUUUGGUGUACUCCCAAGGACAAGGCACUUAUGAAUAAUGAGCCACAUGAAGGCCAAGGUACAGGCACAAAAACGGAGGGGCAGGUGGCACAGCAGCUAAGAGUAGGGUGCAGGCCUAAGAGACACUCCUGCUUCUGAAUCUGGCUCAUUUAUUAGCUCUGUGACCUCCGGCAAGUGAAUUAACUUCUCUGCGUCUAAGUUUCCCCAUCCGCAAAAUGGAAAUGGAAGGAGAUCUUAUCAUCACAGGACUAUCAUGUAGAACAAAUGAGAUAAUGCUUACAUUAAUAAAUCACCUCUAGAGAGGCCAGCCCACGGUACGUGCUCAUGAGAACGCAGCUACUGCUUCCACUAUUUUAAGCCCUAUGGCUUUAGGCAUGGUUAAUACCAUCUACUGAAUUUAUUCCCUUUAUUAUUUUUUUUCUGACACAGAGUCUCACUCUGUUGCCCCGGCUAGA